CCUACGGGAGGCAGCAGUGAGGAAUUUUCCGCAAUGGGCGAAAGCCUGACGGAGCAAUACCGCGUGAGGGAUGAAGGAUUUUGGUCUGUAAACCUCUUUUCUCAAGAAAGAAGUUCUGACGGUACUUGAGGAAUAAGCAUCGGCUAACUCCGUGCCAGCAGCCGCGGUAAUACGGGGGAUGCAAGCGUUAUCCGGAAUGAUUGGGCGUAAAGCGCCUGUAGGUUGUUUAUUAAGUCCGUUGUUAAAGCCUAGGGCUUAACCCUAGAAAAGCAAUGGAAACUAGUAGACUAGAGUAUGGCAGGGGUAGAGGGAAUUUCUAGUGUAGCGGUGAAAUGCGUAGAUAUUAGAAAGAACACCGGUGGCGAAAGCGCUCUACUGGACCAUUACUGACACUCAGAGGCGAAAGCUAGGGUAGCAAAAGGGAUUAGAUACCCCUGUAGUCCUAGCCGUAAACGAUGGAUACUAGAUGUUGUGCAUUAUGUACAGUAUCGUAGCUAACGCGUUAAGUAUCCCGCCUGGGGAGUACGCUCGCAAGGGUGAAACUUAAAUGAAUUGACGGCUGAGANGCGAGCGACACGAGGAGAG
rnacentral:rRNA from 1 species